GACGAACGCUGGCGGCGUGCUUAACACAUGCAAGUCGAACGGACGAGUGAGAUAAGUUUACUUAACUCACAAGUUAGUGGCGGACGGGUGAGUAACACGUGGAUAAUCUACCUGCAACACCGGGAUAACGCUGUGAAAACGGUGCUAAUACCGGAUACGUUCCCUUGUGCGCAUGUAUGAGGGAAGAAAGCUCAGGCGGUUGCAGAUGAGUCCGCGGCUGAUUAGCUAGUUGGUGAGGUAAAGGCUCACCAAGGCGAUGAUCAGUAGCCGGCCUGAGAGGGUGAACGGCCACACUGGGACUGAGACACGGCCCAGACUCCUACGGGAGGCAGCAGUGGGGAAUCUUCCGCAAUGGGCGCAAGCCUGACGGAGCAACGCCGCGUGGGUGAAGAAGGCCUUCGGUUGUAAGCCUGUCUAUGGAGAAGUCAGUGACGGUACCAUAGGAGGAAGGACCACGGCUAACUACGUGCCAGCAGCCGCGGUAAUGAGU
rnacentral:rRNA from 1 species